CCGGCGACCGGCGCACGGGUGAGUAACACGUAUGCAACCUGCCCUCUUCAGGGGGACAACCUUCCGAAAGGGAGGCUAAUCCCGCGUAUAUCGGUUUCGGGCAUCCGAGAUCGAGGAAAGAUUCAUCGGAAGAGGAUGGGCAUGCGGCGCAUUAGCUAGACGGCGGGGUAACGGCCCACCGUGGCGACGAUGCGUAGGGGUUCUGAGAGGAAGGUCCCCCACGCUGGUACUGAGACACGGACCAGACUCCUACGGGAGGCAGCAG
rnacentral:rRNA from 1 species